rnacentral:rRNA from 1 species
GGGUUGUGAGGUUAAGCGACUAAGCGUACACGGUGGAUGCCCUGGCAGUCAGAGGCGAUGAAGGGCGUGCUAAUCUGCGAUAAGCGCCGGUAAGGUGAUAUGAACCGUUAUAACCGGCGAUACCCGAAUGGGGAAACCCAGUGUGACUCGUCACACUAUCAUUAACUGAAUCCAUAGGUUAAUGAGGCGAACCGGGGGAACUGAAACAUCUAAGUACCCCGAGGAAAAGAAAUCAACCGAGAUUCCCCCAGUAGCGGCGAGCGAACGGGGAGGAGCCCAGAGCCUGAAUCAGCAUGUGUGUUAGUGGAAGCGUCUGGAAAGGCGCGCGAUACAGGGUGACAGCCCCGUACACAAAAGCGCAUGUGCUGUGAGCUCGAUGAGUAGGGCGGGACACGUGGUAUCCUGUCUGAAUAUGGGGGGACCAUCCUCCAAGGCUAAAUACUCCUGACUGACCGAUAGUGAACCAGUACCGUGAGGGAAAGGCGAAAAGAACCCCGGCGAGGGGAGUGAAAAAGAACCUGAAACCGUGUACGUACAAGCAGUGGGAGCCCCACCACCAAAGCAUUCUCUGGUGUUGAAGGCCCUGCAAAGCAGCAUCGCGGUGGCGGAGCGUCGUUUGCGACGCCCAACACACAAAACAAGCGGUGAAUGCUUUGGGGUGGGGUGACUGCGUACCUUUUGUAUAAUGGGUCAGCGACUUAUAUUCUGUAGCAAGGUUAACCGAAUAGGGGAGCCGGAGGGAAACCGAGUCUUAAUUGGGCGUUAAGUUGCAGGGUAUAGACCCGAAACCCGGUGAUCUAGCCAUGGGCAGGUUGAAGGUUGGGUAACACUAACUGGAGGACCGAACCGACUAAUGUUGAAAAAUUAGCGGAUGACCUGUGGCUGGGGGUGAAAGGCCAAUCAAACCGGGAGAUAGCUGGUUCUCCCCGAAAGCUAUUUAGGUAGCGCCUCGUGAAUUCAUCUCCGGGGUAGAGCACUGUUUCGGCUAGGGGCCAUCCCGGCUUACCAACCCGAUGCAAACUGCGAAUACCGGAGAAUGUUAUCACGGGAGACACACGGCGGGUGCUAACGUCCGUCGUGAAGAGGGAAACAACCCAGACCGCCAGCUAAGGUCCCAAAGUCAUGGUUAAGUGGGAAACGAUGUGGGAAGGCCCAGACAGCCGUGAUGUUGGCUUAGAAGCAGCCAUCAUUUAAAGAAAGCGUAAUAGCUCACUGGUCGAGUCGGCCUGCGCGGAAGAUGUAACGGGGCUAAACCAUGCACCGAAGCUGCGGCAGCGACGCUGAUGCGUUGUUGGGUAGGGGAGCGUUCUGUAAGCCUGUGAAGGUGUGUCGUGAGGCAUGCUGGAGGUAUCAGAAGUGCGAAUGCUGACAUAAGUAACGAUAAAGCGGGUGAAAAGCCCGCUCGCCGGAAGACCAAGGGUUCCUGUCCAACGUUAAUCGGGGCAGGGUGAGUCGACCCCUAAGGCGAGGCCGAAAGGCGUAGUCGAUGGGAAACGGGUUAAUAUUCCCGUACUUGGUGUUACUGCGAAGGGGACGGAGAAGGCUAUGUUGGCCGGGCGACGGUUGUCCCGGUUUAAGCGUGUAGGUGUGUGUUCCGUAAAUCCGGUUCACUUUAACACUGAGGCGUGACGACGAGGCACUACGGUGCUGAAGCAACAAAUGCCCUGCUUCCAGGAAAAGCCUCUAAGCAUCAGGUAACACGAAAUCGUACCCCAAACCGACACAGGUGGUCAGGUAGAGAAUACCAAGGCGCUUGAGAGAACUCGGGUGAAGGAACUAGGCAAAAUGGUGCCGUAACUUCGGGAGAAGGCACGCUGACACGUAGGUGAAGUGAUUUACUCAUGGAGCUGAAGUCAGUCGAAGAUACCAGCUGGCUGCAACUGUUUAUUAAAAACACAGCACUGUGCAAACACGAAAGUGGACGUAUACGGUGUGACGCCUGCCCGGUGCCGGAAGGUUAAUUGAUGGGGUCAGCGCAAGCGAAGCUCCUGAUCGAAGCCCCGGUAAACGGCGGCCGUAACUAUAACGGUCCUAAGGUAGCGAAAUUCCUUGUCGGGUAAGUUCCGACCUGCACGAAUGGCGUAAUGAUGGCGAGGCUGUCUCCACCCGAGACUCAGUGAAAUUGAACUCGCUGUGAAGAUGCAGUGUACCCGCGGCAAGACGGAAAGACCCCGUGAACCUUUACUAUAGCUUGACACUGAACAUUGAGCCUUGAUGUGUAGGAUAGGUGGGAGGCUUUGAAGUGUGGACGCCAGUCUGCAUGGAGCCGACCUUGAAAUACCACCCUUUAAUGUUUGAUGUUCUAACGUGGACCCGUAAUCCGGGUUGCGGACAGUGUCUGGUGGGUAGUUUGACUGGGGCGGUCUCCUCCUAAAGAGUAACGGAGGAGCACGAAGGUUGGCUAAUCCUGGUCGGACAUCAGGAGGUUAGUGCAAUGGCAUAAGCCAGCUUGACUGCGAGCGUGACGGCGCGAGCAGGUGCGAAAGCAGGUCAUAGUGAUCCGGUGGUUCUGAAUGGAAGGGCCAUCGCUCAACGGAUAAAAGGUACUCCGGGGAUAACAGGCUGAUACCGCCCAAGAGUUCAUAUCGACGGCGGUGUUUGGCACCUCGAUGUCGGCUCAUCACAUCCCGGGCUGAAGUAGGUCCCAAGGGUAUGGCUGUUCGCCAUUUAAAGUGGUACGCGAGCUGGGUUUAGAACGUCGUGAGACAGUUCGGUCCCUAUCUGCCGUGGGCGCUGGAGAACUGAGGGGGGCUGCUCCUAGUACGAGAGGACCGGAGUGGACGCAUCACUGGUGUUCGGGUUGUCAUGCCAAUGGCACUGCCCGGUAGCUAAAUGCGGAAGAGAUAAGUGCUGAAAGCAUCUAAGCACGAAACUUGCCCCGAGAUGAGUUCUCCCUGAGACUUUAGGUCUCCUGAAGGAACGUUGAAGACGACGACGUUGAUAGGCCGGGUGUGUAAGCGCAGCGAUGCGUUGAGCUAACCGGUACUAAUGAACCGUGAGGCUUAACCUUACAACGCCGAAG